UAGAGUUUGAUCCUGGCUCAGAAUCAACGCUGGCGGCGUGCCUCAGACAUGCAAGUCGAACGCGAAAGUUCCCUUCGGGGAGCAAGUAGAGUGGCGCACGGGUGAGUAACACGUAGGUAAUCUACCUUUGGAUGGGGAAUAACAACCGGAAACGGUUGCUAAUACCGCAUAAUGCAGCGGCACCUAAUGGUGACAGUUGUUAAAGCGGGGGAUCGAAAGACCUCGCGUCUAAAGAGGAGCCUGCGGCGGAUUAGCUAGUUGGUAAGGUAACGGCUUACCAAGGCGAUGAUCCGUAGCCGGCCUGAGAGGGCGGUCGGCCACACUGACACUGACAUACGGGUCAGACUCCUACGGGAGGCAGCAGUCGGGAAUUUUGGGCAAUGGGCGAAAGCCUGACCCAGCAACGCCGCGUGAAGGAUGAAAUCCCUCGGGAUGUAAACUUCGCAAGAACGGGAAGAAUAAGACGGUGUUAACACCACCGGCGAUGACGGUACUGUUUGUAAGCUCCGGCUAACUCCGUGCCAGCAGCCCCGGUCAA
rnacentral:rRNA from 1 species